rnacentral:rRNA from 1 species
AUGGAAGCCGCGGCGGCCGCGGCGUGCCGAGGAGGCGUGGUGCUCGCACGGGCACGCCCUGGUCACCCGGCGCGGCGCCACGGCGUAGGCGCGGGAGCCGGACCCGCCGCCCGGCGGAGGUUCCUCGUCGUGGCGUCGCUCGGAGAAGCCCCCUCCGCGCCCUCGCGCAGCGCCGUGGCGGUCGCGCAGGAGAUCGCGCAGGCUGCCUAUGAGGACGACGUCGCCUCCGUCAGAGUUGUACUGAUGAUGGCCUUCGGCCCAGCCUCGACCGCAGUCCUGCCGCCCCCCGACGAUCAUGUGAAUACGGUGAGCGUCACGUUCGUGCUGGAGAAGAAGUGCGCGUUCGGCCAGCGGUUCCUCGUCGUCGGCGACGACCCGGCGCUCGGCCUCUGGGACCCGGCCAAGGCGACCGCUCUGGACUGGUCGGAAGGCCACGUCUGGACGGCGACGACGGAUCUGCCAGCGAACAGGUUGGUCGAGUUCAAGUUCUUGCUGCAAGACCCCUCCGGCCAUGUCCGCUGGCAGCACGGCGGCAACAGGGCUCUGCAGAUAACCGAGGCCUCCAACGCGUUGGUCGUGUACGAAGACUGGGACGACGCCGGGUGCCAGGAAGUGUCGGAGGCGGCAUUACAUCUGCCGAUCGGAGCGGAGGAGACCGACGUGCUGCUGGCAGAUGAUGGCCGGACCGACGACGAUCAGGAGACCUACGAGGGCUUCAUGCAUGCCGAGGAGUCACCUGCGGCUGUAGGAGCUUCUCUGGACGCGGAAACGAUGUGGGUACAUGGAGCGAACCGGACACAGUUUACCUUGCAGAAAGACGAGAAGAUCCCGGAGGAGCUUCGCAGAAGAGCAAACAUGGCAGCAGCACAAAACGGCAGCCUUGCUUCUGCGGGAAUAAACGGCGACGACAUCAUCUUGUACAAGGAAGCUGCGAAUACGCCGGCCAGGAUGUUCGAAAAUGACAUGGUCUGGAUGAGGAAAGCCCUCCAGGGGUUGCUCCGGAACCUUGGUUUCCACAUCGGCACAACAAAAACAUGA